rnacentral:rRNA from 1 species
CAGCAGCCGCGGUAAUACAGAGUGUGCAAGCGUUAAUCGGAAUUACUGGGCGUAAAGCGCGCGUAGGUUGUUUGUUAAGUUGGAUGUGAAAUCCCCGGGCUCAACCUGGGAACUGCAUCCAAAACUGGCAAGCUAGAGUAUGGUAGAGGGUGGUGGAAUUUCCUGUGUAGCGGUGAAAUGCGUAGAUAUAGGAAGGAACACCAGUGGCGAAGGCGACCACCUGGACUGAUACUGACACUGAGGUGCGAAAGCGUGGGGAGCAAACAGGAUUAGAUACCCGCGUAGUCCCUGUCUCUUAUAC